AAUUCCGUUUACGUUCGCUGAGUUUGGCGGGUUUUUUUCUUCUUUGUUCGCGCUCUCAUGGAGAUGGAAUACUCUCCUUGAAACUAUGCAGAAAAUCCUUGUAUUACUUACAAAUUACUGGCUCGCAACUUGAAGAUUUGGCAGGAUACAGCUUAGCGAAAUCUAUGGUAUUGCUGGUGGUAUAAAGUUGAGGCUGAGUAUGGUAACUGAAAUAACGGUGACAUAGUCAAGGAAUCGUGUGGGAGGUCCUUUUUACGGAUGUGCGAGGAUCAAACAUCCAAUAUUCUAGAAUUCAGAUGCACGAUUUCUCGGCUUCGCAAUGCUCAACAUGGACUAGGGAGCUGUUAGCGAUCAGGCGUCUGCCAGAACUUGUUCUCUGAACGGCUGGCCUCUAUUACAAUACAGCGAAUCCUGGUUAGUUUAUUUCCUUCCUCCCCACCCUCUGUUUAUAUAUCUGUCUGUUUUGAAUCAGAGCGCUACAAUUUGCUAGCUCUUUUUGUAACCUUUUAAAACAGGCUAUGCAUGAAAUUCCUGCAAGAGACAAAAAGCAUGAGAUGCAGUAGCAGCUUACAAAGUGAGCAAUUCUUAUCUUUCUUUUCCAAUUCUCGUGUUAUAUAUCCGUUUCCCUUAUAACCGAUAGAGAAAAAUCAGCAAAAGAAGAAACCAAAAUUAUUCGAGAGAGGAAGUGAGAAGCCAGGACAUGUCCGGAAGAAGGAUGAUGAAAGAAGAGGAACCUUUCAUCAUCAGACUCCAUACCUUUCAAAGGGAACCGAAUCAGACAAAAGCUUGGGGGUAAGAAAAGGAUGUUACUUUUGGGGGGAAAAUAUAGAAUUAAAAAAAAUUAAAAAAAGAAACCAGGAAUCUCACUGUACAUAUUGCCUUUUAGGCCUCUAAGCCCCCACUUUUCAUCAUUCUUUCACCGCUAAAAUGAUUAUUCAUAUUUACUAUCCCAACUAAAAGUCUUAAAAGACACCGCUCUGCCCGAACUGAACUGGAGAGAGGGACAUCACUUCUGCUAGAAAACCACACUCAAAAAAGAAGAUGAAAUUUUUUGGAUUAUCCUCCCCUCUUGUAUUGGAAUAUUGACCCAUGUCUCUCUCUCUCUCUUUGAAAAUUACAAAGAAGCUUCUUCCUUUCCUUUCCAUUCCUUUUGUUCACUCAACUUUCGUUUUCUUCUUUUCUGCACAAAUAUGCGGGAUAUUGAUAUUAUAAAUUCUAAUGUAUUUUCAUGGGUCAGUCUUAUUGGACUUGGGUGUUACUUUAAUGUUGAGAUGAUGCAGCCCAUUGACCUUUUUCCAUGUUCUGUAAUCUUUUUGACUUUUCAGCUGGUCAAAAUUUUCAAUUCAAAUAAACAAUCAAGGAUAUUGUUUUCUUUGUACUGUCCAAGUAAAAUUGUUUUACUGUCUCCUGUUCAUUUUAGAUUCUCAUCUUCUUGACCAUAAGCUUGAUUAGAUAUUUUUGCAAUAAAAAGAUUAUAACAGAUUUAAUAAUAGUCCAUUUUUAGUAUUAAUUAUUUUAUUGGCUUCUCAUUUCUUUUUUGCCCUUUCAUUUACCUGUUGAUGGUUUUUACUUUGUGGAGGAUUAAAGAAAAAACUGGAAGCGAGAAGCAUGGAAGGGUUAAAAGCUGUUCGACGAAAUGCCUCAAAGAACUAUUUUGCAGUCAAGGCUGGUUUUUCAACCAAGUUUGUGGGCUAUGGGAUGCGGAUGGUCCAAGAUGUUGUACACAGCUUCAUUACAGCAACUACUUUUGGUGUAUGCCAAAUUGUCAAGUGAGUUUUCUUGUUCUUUUUCUUUUUAUAAAUGAAAAAAAGGUUAUGGAGUCCAACUACAAAAUUGGGUGAUGGGUCAGAGCCGAGGGUGGAAUGAGUAGAAGGAAUCAUAAACCGUACAAAAAAGUAGGCUGUUUGAACUUGGAAACCCAUUAAAUCUUUUGCUUUUGUUAGGCUGUUUGUAGGGCCAGAUUAUGAGAGGUUUCUGUUUCUGAUUUGGAGUGGCUGAGGGCUUGAAGGGCGUAGGCCCAGAGGAGAGCCGCAAGCAAUCAUUGCUUGUUUUGGAUGCUGCGGCUGAGAGGCUGUGUUCUUUCUGUUCUGAGUUUGAUGGACUUUCAUGGUGGGAAGAAGACAUAAAAGAAAAGAAAAAGUUGGUUUUAGUUUAAAUGCCACUGAUCAAAAGGUGAUUGCCGGCGCAGCAAUUGCAUAACUAUGAAUUUAAAGGGGGAAAAGUAGAAAACCUCAUAUUGUUUAAUGGGUUUAAUGUUUGAUGCUCAAAUUAUUGAUCUAAUGAUGAUAUAUUUUAGAACGUCCGAAUCAUUGGUAAUGCAACAAGUUCGAGAAACUGCAAGUUGAAUCAAAAGUUUGAGAGUGUAGUUAUAGCAUCGUUCAUGGUGUACGAAAUUUGAAAUUGUGUCGGAGUGUCGAAUUGUAUGCUAAAAGAACAAAGUAUGCACGAUGCGAUUGGGGGUCGGGUGGGUGGGUUGCUUUAGGGAGUGAGUGAUGAGCAAUGGAAUGGAUAGAUAUUAAUAUGGUUUGUGGGGUUUGGCAUGUGCUCCCUUUACUUUGAAAAUAAGGGAAAAAAAAAAAAAGAAAAGGAUAAGAACUAUGAGAUCGUUAGUUGGGGAGUAGAACGAAGCAUUGUAAGGACAUUGGACUUCGAAGGGUCAGUUGGGGAGUAGAAUGAAGCAUUGU